GUGCCAUAAAAAAAUAAAAAUAAAAAAACAAAAAACAAUCUGGCUUUGAAAAGCUAUGAAAGGAGAUUCAUAACCAUCAAUGAUUGAUCACCUUACUGUUGCAACUCUUAAAUGAUAACUAACUUGGAGCAAUUGAAAGAUAAAGAUGAAGAAGUUAAAAAUAAAACGCAAAAACCUUCACUACAUGAAAGCAGGGAUAAGAAUCUGGGCAAACUUUAGAUUGUGGGCUGCUUAGUUAAGAGAACCUCAGGACUUUUUCCAGAACAUUAAACUGUCUGCCUGUUUAUAAAAACAAAAUCACUUAAAAAUGCACACACACUGAUAGAUAUAGAUACACAUAUAUUUAUAUACCCAAGACAAUAAUUCAGUGAAGGCUACUAACCUGUCUAUUAAAAAAAGGAUGCAUGCAUGAGAAAAGAAUUUGUGGUCAAAGGAUUGGAAGGAGUCACUUGUGUGUACUCUUCUGCCACAUUUGCCAACAAAGUGAAAACACUGACUCCCCUUAUAAAAGCCUCCUUAUUCUUCUUCUUUUGUAAGCCUGCUCUUCCAAUAUCCAACUGAGUUCUGGAAUGUGAACCCUGCUGUGUACCAUAAAAUCACAAGGACUAACAAAAUUACUUUGUUCCAUGCAUUGUUCAUUGCUUUGUAUAAUCUUUGAAUUUCUAGAUUCUAUCACAUAUUUUUCAGAAUUUUGUGUGCAAAUGAAUCAGCAUGAAC
rnacentral:lncRNA from 1 species